UACGUAGGGCGCAAGCGUUGUCCGGAAUUAUUGGGCGUAAAGGGCUCGUAGGCGGUUUGUCGCGUCGGGAGUGAAAACCAGGUGCUUAACACCUGGCUUGCUUUCGAUACGGGCAGACUAGAGGUAUGCAGGGGAGAACGGAAUUCCUGGUGUAGCGGUGAAAUGCGCAGAUAUCAGGAGGAACACCGGUGGCGAAGGCGGUUCUCUGGGCAUUACCUGACGCUGAGGAGCGAAAGUGUGGGGAGGCGAACAGG
rnacentral:rRNA from 1 species